rnacentral:rRNA from 1 species
GUGGGGAAUAUUGGACAAUGGGGGAAACCCUGAUCCAGCCAUGCCGCGUGUGUGAAGAAGGCCUUCGGGUUGUAAAGCACUUUAAGCGAGGAGGAAGGUUCGUUACUUAAUACGUAACGGAAUUGACGUUACUCGCAGAAUAAGCACCGGCUAACUCUGUGCCAGCAGCCGCGGUAAUACAGAGGGUGCAAGCGUUAAUCGGAAUUACUGGGCGUAAAGCGCGCGUAGGCGGUUGUGUAAGUUGGAUGUGAAAUCCCCGGGCUUAACCUGGGCACUGCAUUCAAAACUGCACGGCUAGAGUAUGGGAGAGGAAGGUAGAAUUCCAGGUGUAGCGGUGAAAUGCGUAGAGAUCUGGAGGAAUACCGAUGGCGAAGGCAGCCUUCUGGCCUAAUACUGACGCUGAGGUGCGAAAGCAUGGGGAGCAAACAGGAUUAGAAACCCUAGUAGUCC